AAGACACAGGAUGUGAACCGUUAGAACUUCUCUGGCUUUCUCAACCCUGGGGGAGGCCAUCCAGACCUCAGCUAUACAAAGACACGGGGUUACAACAUCAAGCGAAUGCAGAGAGAGUGCUUCCAGAGUGGAAGUGGGGGUGUGAGCUGAGAAGACAUUUAACUGACUGAAAGUCACUGUCUGACAUCCAAGGCAUCUCUGCGGCUGUCCAGACCGGAGAAGGAAGAGCCUGAUCUACUACCCAGGUCCCUAGGGAAGGGUUUUGAAGAGGCAAAUCUCGGGUCUGCACAUGACUGAUUCUCACUCUAUUGGGAGGGACCUUUCACUUCCCUAACGACUGAUAAAUGUUUGCAAACCAGACUGGAUCCACUGAUUUGAAUCAUCUGCUAAUUUCUGUGGUGUAAACACUUCCACCAUGCUUGGUUUCUCAUGUCACUGAAAUCAGUAUUGGGAAAUGAAAGGCACAAUCAACUUUUGAUAGCUGACAUUAGCCCACCACAAAACAUGAAUAUGCCCAGACUAUUUCCUAUAACCUUCUAAAGCAGCUUUUAAAAACAAACAAAUAAGCCAGAUGUAGUGAUGCAUGCCUACAAUCUCAGCACUCGGAGGGGAUCUUGACUCUGACUUCAAGGCCAGCCUGGUCUGCAUAGUGAGCUCCAGGACAGCCAGAGCUACAUAGAGAGACCCUGUCUUGAUAAACAAACAAACAAACAAACAACAAGGAAACUUAAGACAUUCCUCUUUCCAGGUUUAUUUCAUCUUUUAAAUUAUAUUUUUUAUUGACUUUGUAUAUGUCAUAAAACACUUUUGUGUAGCAGACAAGUGGAGGUCAGAAGACUUGCAGACUUGCGGGAGUGAGUCCCAGGGAUGGCAGCAAGGGUCUGAGCCAUCUCAGCAGCCCAAGGGAGGCUGUCUGUGAUUAACACACACUAUUUGCAUGGAUGGAAAUAUUAAUAUGCAUAAAGAUAUUAUAGGUUGUAUUUUAAAACACUA